GACGAACGCUGGCGGCGUGCUUAACACAUGCAAGUCGAACGCUGAAGCACCAGCUUGCUGGUGUGGAUGAGUGGCGAACGGGUGAGUAAUACGUGAGUAACCUGCCCUUGACUCUGGGAUAAGCCCGGGAAACUGGGUCUAAUACUGGAUGCUACAUGUCACCGCAUGGUGGUGUGUGGAAAGGGUUUACUGGUCUUGGAUGGGCUCACGGCCUAUCAGCUUGUUGGUGAGGUAAUGGCUCACCAAGGCGACGACGGGUAGCCGGCCUGAGAGGGUGACCGGCCACACUGGGACUGAGACACGGCCCAGACCCCUACGGGAGGCAGCAGUGGGGAAUAUUGCACAAUAGGCGAACGCCUGAUGCAGCGACGCCGGGGGAGGGAUGACGGGCUUCGGGUUGUAAACCUCUUUCAGCAAGGAAGAAGCCACAAGUGACGGUACCUGCAGAAGAAGCGCCGGCUAACUACGUG
rnacentral:rRNA from 1 species